rnacentral:rRNA from 1 species
AGAGUUUGAUCCUGGCUCAGAACGAACGCUGGCGGCGUGCUUAACACAUGCAAGUCGAACGCGAAAUUUUUCUUCGGAAAGAGAGUAGAGUGGCGCACGGGUGAGUAACGCGUAAGUUAUCUACCUCGGCAUCUGGAAUAACUCACCGAAAGGUGUGCUAAUACCGGAUACGUUGAGUAAUCAAGAAAGGUGGCCUCUGAAUAUGCUACUGUGCUGAGAUGAGCUUGCGUACCAUUAGCUAGUUGGUAGGGUAAUGGCCUACCAAGGCGACGAUCAGUAGCCGGCCUGAGAGGGUGAACGGCCACACUGGGACUGAGACACGGCCCAGACUCCUACGGGAGGCAGCAGUGGGGAAUCUUCCGCAAUGGACGAAAGUCUGACGGAGCAACGCCGCGUGUAUGAUGAAGGUCUUCGGAUUGUAAAGUACUGUCUUUGGGGAAGAAUGACUGAUUUGAGAAUAUUGAGUCAGUAUGACGGUACCCAAGGAGGAAGCCCCGGCUAACUACGUGCCAGCAGCCGCGGUAAUACGUAGGGGGCAAGCGUUGUCCGGAAUUAUUGGGCGUAAAGGGCGCGUAGGCGGAUAGUUAAGUCCGGUGUGAAAGAUCAGGGCUCAACCCUGAGAGUGCAUCGGAAACUGGUUAUCUUGAGGACAGGAGAGGAAAGUGGAAUUCCACGUGUAGCGGUGAAAUGCGUAGAUAUGUGGAGGAACACCAGUGGCGAAGGCGACUUUCUGGACUGUAACUGACGCUGAGGCGCGAAAGCGUGGGGAGCAAACAGGAUUAGAUACCCUGGUAGUCC